CCCUUAGAUGUUCUGGGCCGCACGCGCGCUACACUGAUGCAUUCAACGAGUCUAAAACCUGCUCUGAUAGGGGUGGGUAAUCUUUUGAAUGUGCAUCGUGAUUGGGAUAGAUGAUUGCAAUUUUUCAUCUUCAACGAGGAAUGCCUAGUAAACGCAAGUCAUCAGCUUGCAUUGAUUACGUCCCUGCCCUUUGUACACACCGCCCGUCGCUCCUACCGAUUGAAUGGUCCGGUGAAAUCUUCGGAUUGCUGGAUAGGACUUCAUUGACCUAUCUGCGAGAAGUUGCUUGAACCUUAUCAUUUAGAGGAAGGAGAAGUCGUAACA
rnacentral:rRNA from 1 species